CCUCUCAUGGUGUAGUGGUAACGCGCCCCAACUAGAGACCGGGGAGUCGUGAGUUCGAUUCUCACUGAGAAGA
rnacentral:tRNA from 1 species